AUUAAACGCUGGCGGCAGGCCUAACACAUGCAAGUCGAGCGGUAGCACAGAAGAGCUUGCUCUUUGGGUGACGAGCGGCGGACGGGUGAGUAAUGUCUGGGAAACUGCCUGAUGGAGGGGGAUAACUACUGGAAACGGUAGCUAAUACCGCAUAACCUCGCAAGAGCAAAGAGGGGGACCUUCGGGCCUCUCGCCAUCCGAUGUGCCCAGAUGGGAUUAGCUAGAAGGUGAGGUAAUGGCGCACCUAGGCGACGAUCCCUAGCUGGUCUGAGAGGAGGACCAGCCACACUGGAACUGAGACACGGUCCAGACUCCUACGGGAGGCAGCAGUGGGGAAUAUUGCACAAUGGGCGCAAGCCUGAUACAGCCAUGCCGCGUGUGUGAAGAAGGCCUUCGGGUUGUAAAGCACUUUCAGCGGGGAGGAAGGCGGUAAGGUUAAUAACCUUAUCGAUUGACGUUACCCGCAGAAGAAGCACCGGCUAACUCCGUGCCAGCCGCCGCCGUAA
rnacentral:rRNA from 1 species